UGAGGAACAUGACCUUCGGCGGGGGAUAGCCGGCCCAACGGCCGGGUAAUACCGCGUACGACCACAUGGGGACAUCCCUGAGUGGUGAAAGCAGCAAUGCGCCGAUGGAGUGCCUCGCGGCCUAUCAGCUAGUUGGUGAGGUAAUGGCUCACCAAGGCGACGACGGGUAGCUGGUCUGAGAGGAUGACCAGCCACAGUUGGGACUGAGACACGGCCCAGAUCCCGUAACGGGG
rnacentral:rRNA from 1 species